AUUGAACGCUGGCGGCAGGCCUAACACAUGCAAGUCGAGCGGAUGACGGGAGCUUGCUCCUUGAUUCAGCGGCGGACGGGUGAGUAAUGCCUAGGAAUCUGCCUGGUAGUGGGGGCCAACGUUUCGAAAGGAACGCUAAUACCGCAUACGUCCUACGGGAGAAAGCAGGGGACCUUCGGGCCUUGCGCUAUCAGAUGAGCCUAGGUCGGAUUAGCUAGUAGGUGAGGUAAUGGCGCACCUAGGCGACGAUCCGUAACUGGUCUGAGAGGAUGAUCAGUCACACUGGAACUGAGACACGGUCCAGACUCCUACGGGAGGCAGCAGGGGGGAAUAUUGGACAAUGGGCGAAAGCCUGAUCCAGCCAUGCCGCGUGUGUGAGGAAGGUCUUCGGAUUGUAAAGCACUUUAAGUUGGGAGGAAGGGCAGUAAGUUAAUACCUUGCUGUUUUGACGUUACCGACAGAAUAAGCACCGGCUAACUCUGUGCCAGCCGCCGCGGUAACAC
rnacentral:rRNA from 1 species